rnacentral:lncRNA from 1 species
UAUUCUUUUUUUUUAUUUUCGGUGUGCUAUGCAAAAGUUCUACAGCCUCUGUGUUAUUUUUUUUAAGUGUGCAAGUUUUCGUUCAAGUGUGUCUUGUUUACUUUUUGAUACCAAAAGUGAAAAAAACAACUGUUCCGAAAAAAAAAAUGCAAGGAGCCAAUAUCCAGAGAAGCCGGUGUCCCGAAAAGCCCCGUAUCCAGAUUGCAGGAAAUCUUUCGACCUCCAGCGGCUUUAGGAGAGUUUACAAAGUCACUCUGGCUCAAAACAACCGGCCGUUUUCAUCGAACCCAUUAGACGGUCAAGGAUGGUCGUCAUCCAUCGGAUGAGAAGACUUAUCCACCUCUAAAUAGCUUCAUCCCAAGAUGCUGACGAUGGUAGCUGCUAAAUGCUGUUACGGCUCAUUACCGUUCACAAGAAGGAAACCGACAAAUUGUGCCUAGAGCUAAGGAAAAGGAAGUCUGCACCAAGAGGUUCGUUUUAUGUUUUAUAA